AGCCACGGGGAGAGGGUUGCAGAGUAUGUCUAGCUUAAGUGCUGCAUAUUUCAAGUUCCCCUAGAGUCCCAUUCACAUGUCCUUCCUCUUUAAAGUGAUGAGCUCUCUACAUCAGGAGACACAGGGUGGCGACUUACAGGUGUGGCCUGAGACAGCAGAAGUUGGAGCUCUGCAGGAAGUCCAGAUGGCAGUGUGCCCACUUCCACAGCAUGAAGGGUCUGUGUCCAGCACAGGAGGAGGAAAGUGACAGCAAGCUGGAGGAAAAUGGGUACCACUUUGGAUGGAAUGCUGGGACAUUGCUCCACUUUGGAAAUCUGCAGGUUCUGCUGGAUAUGUUCAGACAAAGCUCAUCUUCACCGUAUGUGCAUCCUGUCUCAUCUAGG